GCCAGGCGCGAUGGCACACACCUGUAAUCCCAGCUGCUUGGGAGGCUGAGGCAGGAGGAUCGUGAGUUCAAAGCCAGUCUCAGCAACUUAGCGAGGCUUUAGGUAACUUAGCAAGACCCUGUCUCUA
rnacentral:sRNA from 1 species